CUUGGCAACUAGGCAAGCAGCGCCCAUCCUUGUUUGCUUUGGAAACCUAGCUCAUUGAUUAGAGCCCCUGAAAUCCCCAGGCAGUGUGGGCAAUCUUCUUCCAAGUAAGCACAGGGAGUGUCCUUUCAACCUGUGCGGACAAGUCGCUCUUCGAGAAAGAUGACUAGUCCGAAGGCUUCUUUAGAAUGGUGGCCUCAUCCAUGGCCCUGGCGAAUUAGCUUUUUUCAGUUGCUCAGUCAUGUCCAACUCUCUGCAUCCCGGCUCCUGUGUCCAUGGAAUUUUCCUGGCAGGAAUCCUGGAGUGGCUUGCCAUUUCUUUCUCCAGGGAAUCUUACCCAACCCAGGGAUGGAACCUGUGUCUCCUGCAUUGCUGGAGGAUUCUUUACCAUCUGAGUUGCAAGAGUCCUUCGGGAAGGUUUUCUCUGAGGAUAAGCAGAGGUGGCAAUCCUGGAGGCAGCUUAAGGAGGCCCCAGGCUUGACAGAGUCUGCCCGCCCAGGGGAGGCUCACCGAGUUCUUUGAAGGUGUGCUGUUGGUUGCCCGAGCAUCUGAGAAGACACACCACUGUGAAUGACCCUCUGGAUUUCCUCACACCCCAGUGUGUUCCUGUGCUAUUUCCAAGAUGUCCCAAGGUUUCCUGUGUCCUGAUAGUAUUAUAGACAAGGCGUGAAGGCAGUCCUUUCCUCAAACCUUGGCUCUCAGGGUAAGCCCUGGUGUGCUUGUGGCAGUAUAGCUUGGGUGCCCCGGGACCUCGUAAGAGUUUCUGAGGAGGAAGUCUACAUAUCAUGGGUGAGAAUGUGCACGACUACGAGGUGGCCACCUCUUGCCGAGGAAGACACCACACGCGUUGAAAACACCUCCUCGGCUUAAAGUCAAAGUCUACGUUUGCCAGAGGAAAAUGUUGCUGUUUUUCUGAUCAGAAGUUUCGAUGCCUGAGGAAGGUAUGGAAAUCACACCCAUCGAGCAAUAGAGAAGCAGGGAGGCCUGGCGUGCUGCAGUCCAGGGGUUUCUCAAGAGUCGGACACGACUGGGCGACUGAACUGCAGAAGAAGUAUAGAAGCUGAUGAUCAGAUGGAAGUGACUGUCUCAAGACCCCAGAGAAAGACUUUGAAGGCUUUGCAUUGCACUCGGGCAUGCUGGAGCCCAAGCAUGGCUGGGAGUCCCGAUGCAGAGAGAGUUUGCCGCUGUUGGGCAUCCUGGCCUAUGCCCGUCUGGGCAGCUCUACAUCUUCUCUGUGGCCAGCCUGAGCCAGGGCAGUAUGCAGCUACUACUGCUCUGUGGCAGGUGGAGG
ensembl:lncRNA